rnacentral:rRNA from 1 species
UACAGAGGUCUCAAGCGUUGUUCGGAUUCAUUGGGCGUAAAGGGUGCGUAGGCGGCGCGGUAAGUCGGGUGUGAAAUCUUGGAGCUUAACUCCGAAACUGCAUUCGAUACUGCCGUGCUUGAGGACUGGAGAGGAGACUGGAAUUUACGGUGUAGCGGUGAAAUGCGUAGAUAUCGUAAGGAAGACCAGUGGCGAAGGCGGGUCUCUGGGACGGUACUGACGCUGAGACGCGAAAGCGUGGGAGCGAACAGG